rnacentral:rRNA from 1 species
UACGUAGGGUGCAAGCGUUGUCCGGAAUUAUUGGGCGUAAAGAGCUCGUAGGCGGUUUGUUGCGUCGGCUGUGAAAUCCCGAGGCUCAACCUCGGGUCUGCAGUCGAUACGAGCAAACUAGAGUGUUGCAGGGGAGACUGGAAUUCCUGGUGUAGCGGUGAAAUGCGCAGAUAUCAGGAGGAACACCGGUGGCGAAGGCGGGUC